ensembl:snoRNA
AUCUUUUUGAAUAAUUCAUAAGUGUGAUGAUUGGGGUUUCACCUCAUGGGUAAGACAUGCCUCCCUCAAACCUUGUUACAAGGUCAGCACAUGACCUGUCUGACA